ensembl:lncRNA AGBL1-AS1 AGBL1 antisense RNA 1
AGUAUUGAUAGACUGCCUUUAUGCAAAUCCCUUUGGAAGAAAGGAUGGAGAGGAAGAAGCCGGAAACAGAUGAGAGGCAGGAAAUACCAAAUUGCAUGUUUAUAAAUGCUGUGAAGGAAUAUGGCAAGAGGGGAUAAUGCUAGACUGGCGGCCAUGGAAACUGAAGUCUUCUGUUUGUUCACAGGACGGCUCAUAGCCCUGAAAGUCCCAGUUCAAGCUUCCACAAUCAUCCUACACAAGAGCACUGCUUCUCACAGGACUGCCUCAGCCUGGCAGGAUUCAGUCUCCUGCUCUGAGGGAAAAACAGGAAGUCAAGGAUCAAGACCGAGUGCUCAACUGAGAUCAGAAAGGAGGACACACAGUGACUUGGCCAAAUCACUGGAGAUUCACACAGCAGAGCUCAGACGAGUGCUAUCAGCACAGCUGAGGAAGACAACAGUUAGGGUGCAAGGAUCCUGAAAGAGAAACAUUGGUUGUG